AUUGAACGCUGGCGGCAUGCCUUACACAUGCAAGUCGAACGGUAACGGGCCUUCGGGUGCCGACGAGUGGCAAACGGGUGAGUAAUACAUCGGAACGUGCCCGAUCGUGGGGGAUAACGAGGCGAAAGCUUUGCUAAUACCGCAUACGAUCUACGGAUGAAAGCAGGGGACCGCAAGGCCUUGCGCGGACGGAGCGGCCGAUGGCAGAUUAGGUAGUUGGUGGGAUAAAAGCUUACCAAGCCGACGAUCUGUAGCUGGUCUGAGAGGAUGAUCAGCCACACUGGGACUGAGACACGGCCCAGACUCCUACGGGAGGCAGCAGUGGGGAAUUUUGGACAAAGGGCGCAAGCCUGAUCCAGCCAUGCCGCGUGCAGGAUGAAGGCCUUCGGGUUGUAAACUGCUUUUGUACGGAACGAAAAGCCUUCUUUUAAUACAGGAGGGUCAUGACGGUACCGUAAGAAUAAGCACCGGCUAACUACGUG
rnacentral:rRNA from 1 species